AAAAAUAAGGAGGAGCUAGGGUUUCCAGAAAAUUGAAGAGGUAAGGGGGGAAUCCUUAUUAUUAUGGGUUAGUAUGAUCGGGUCAAUGGGUAGAAGCAUGUUUAGGUUAAAAUCCCUAAUUUGCCUGAUUUUAGAAUGUUAGGUUUUGAUGAGUAUUCUUGAUUUAUGAUGAUUUAAUUGUAUUAAAACUGAAAAUUAACGUUAUUUAAUUGUAUGAGUUGUAAUUUUCUGAAUGUUUGGCUUUUUACGGAAUCGAAAUCGGAGGUCCGG
rnacentral:lncRNA from 1 species